rnacentral:rRNA from 1 species
UAUUGUUUAUUUGAUGGUCAAGUGAUCUAUGGAUAACUGUGGUAAUUCUAGAGCUAAUACAUGCAUACAACGUCGACUUCUUGGAAGACGUGUAUUUAUUAGAUACAGAACCAAUAGGCUCCGGCUUUUUGGAUGACUCACAAUAAAUGAACGAAGCAGAUGCAUCAGCGCUGCUAGAUCAUUCAAGUUUCUGACCUAUCAGCUUUCGAUGGUAGUGUAUUGGACUACCAUUGCAUUGACGGGUAACGGAGAAUUAGGGUUCGAUUCAGGAGAGGGAGCCCGAGAAACGGCUAUCACA